GACGGAGGAUGCAAGUGUUAUCCGGAAUCACUGGGCGUAAAGCGUCUGUAGGUGGUUCGAAAAGUCCACUGUUAAAAAUUGAGGCUUAACUUCAAAGAUGCCGUGGAAACUUUCAAACUAGAGUAUGGUAGGGGUAGAGGGAAUUUCCAGUGGAGCGGUGAAAUGCGUAGAUAUUGGAAAGACCACCGAUGGCGAAGGCACUCUACUGGGCCAUUACUGACGCUGAGGAGCGAAAGCGUGGGGAGCGAACAGG
rnacentral:rRNA from 1 species